rnacentral:rRNA from 1 species
GCAGAGCACUCCUACGGGAGGCAGCAGUGGGGAAUAUUGCACAAUGGGGGAAGCCCUGAUGCAGCCAUGCCGCGUGUGUGAAGAAGGCCUUCGGGUUGUAAAGCACUUUCAGUAGGGAGGAAGGUAGUGUAGUUAACACCUGCACUAUUUGACGUUACCUACAGAAGAAGCACCGGCUAACUCCGUGCCAGCAGCCGCGGUAAUACGGAGGGUGCGAGCGUUAAUCGGAAUUACUGGGCGUAAAGCGCAUGCAGGCGGCCUGUUAAGUCAGAUGUGAAAGCCCCGGGGCUUAACCUCGGAAUUGCAUUUGAAACUGGCAGGCUAGAGUCUUGUAGAGGGGGUAGAAUUUCAGGUGUAGCGGUGAAAUGCGUAGAGAUCUGAAGGAAUACCAGUGGCGAAGGCGGCCCCCUGGACAAAGACUGACGCUCAGAUGCGAAAGCGUGGGGAGCAAACAGGAUUAGAUACCCUGGUAG